rnacentral:rRNA from 1 species
UACGUAGGGUGCGAGCGUUAAUCGGAAUUACUGGGCGUAAAGCGUGCGUAGACGGUCAAGUAAGUCGGGUGUGAAAGCCCCGGGCUCAACCUGGGAAUUGCAUUCGAGACUGCGUGGCUAGGGUGCGGAAGAGGGAAGCGGAAUUUCCGGUGUAGCGGUGAAAUGCGUAGAUAUCGGAAGGAACACCAGUGGCGAAAGCGGCUUCCUGGUCCAGCACCGACGUUCAGGCACGAAAGCGUGG